rnacentral:rRNA from 1 species
GACGAACGCUGGCGGCGUGCUUAACACAUGCAAGUCGAACGGGCCUUGUCCCCUUUUUUUUGGGGGUGGGGUUAGUGGCGAACGGGUGAGUAACACGUGAGUAACCUGCCCCUCACUUCUGGAUAGCCGCUUGAAAGGGUGGCUAAUACGGGGUGUUCUGGCCUGCUCGCAUGGGUGGGUUUGGAAAGAUUCGACCGGUUUUGGUUGUUUUGGUGGGGGGUGGGCUCGCGGCCUAUCAGCUUGUUGGUGGGGUGAUGGCCUGCCAAGGCUUUGACGGGUAGCCGGCCUGAGAGGGUGGGCGGUCACACUGGGACUGAGACACGGCCCAGACUCCUACGGGAGGCAGCAGUGGGGAAUAUUGCACAAUGGGCGCAAGCCUGAUGCAGCGACGCCGCGUGAGGGAUGGAGGCCUUCGGGUUGUGAACCUCUUUCGCCAGUGAAGAAGGUCCUGCUCUUUGUGGUGGGGUUGACGGUAGCGGGGUUAAUGAAGCGCCGGCUAACUACGUG